CUACGGGGUGCUGCAGUGGGGAAUAUUGGACAAUGGGGGAAACCCUGAUCCAGCAAUGCCGCGUGUGUGAAGAAGGCCUGCGGGUUGUAAAGCACUUUCGGUUGGGAGGACUGCUUCUAGCACUAAUAUUGUUGGAAGUUGACGUUACCUUCAGAAGAAGCACCGGCUAACUCCGUGCCAGCAGCCGCGGUAAUACGGGGGGUGCAAGCGUGAAUCGGAAUUACUGGGCGUAAAGCGCGCGUAGGCGGCUAGAUCAGUCGGGUGUGAAAGCCCCGGGCUUAACCUGGGAACUGCAUCCGAUACUGUCUAGCUUGAGUACAGGAGAGGAGAGUGGAAUUCCACAUGUAGCGGUGAAAUGCGUAGAUAUGUGGAGGAACACCAAUGGCGAAGGCAGCUCUCUGGCCUGAUACUGACGCUGAGGUGCGAAAGCGUGGGGAGCAAACAGGAUUAGAUACCCGUGUAGUC
rnacentral:rRNA from 1 species